rnacentral:tRNA from 1 species
GGGUUUGUGGCUCAGUGGUAGAGCACUUGCUUAGCAUGCAUGAGGCACUGGGUUCAAUUCUCAGCACCA